GACGAACGCUGGCGGCGUGCUUAACACAUGCAAGUCGAACGGAAAGGCCCUGCUUUUGUGGGGUGCUCGAGUGGCGAACGGGUGAGUAACACGUGAGUAACCUGCCCUUGACUUUGGGUUAACUUCGGGAAACGGGGGCUAAUCCGGGAAGGGGGCUCCGGCGGCAUGGGGGGGUUGGGAAGGUUUCGGCGGUGGGGGAUGGACUCGCGGCUUAUCAGCUUGUUGGUGGGGUAGUGGCUUACCAAGGCUUUGACGGGUAGCCGGCCUGAGAGGGUGACCGGCCACAUUGGGACUGAGAUACGGCCCAGACUCCUACGGGAGGCAGCAGUGGGGAAUAUUGCACAAUGGGCGGAAGCCUGAUGCAGCAACGCCGCGUGCGGGAUGACGGCCUUCGGGUUGUAAACCGCUUUCGCCUGUGACGAAGCGUGAGUGACGGUAAUGGGUAAAGAAGCACCGGCUAACUACGUG
rnacentral:rRNA from 1 species